GCUCCUCUGAUCUGCGACAGUUUCUCAGACUUCUCAUUUGCUCUUAAACACAGUACAGAAUGAGAUAAAAUAUUAAUUGAUAAUCUAAUAAUAUUAAUAAACACUCAUAUGUACUCAAGAGUCCAGUUUUUUCAAUUAAUGAAUUUCCAAAGCAAUUUAACUUCUAAAUCAUCUUAAUGGUCUGCAUAUCUAGUGCUCCCCGUAUGAGAUUGUCAAACAGUAAUAAAUCCUAAUUAUAAACCAGGAAUUUUUAUUUAUAACAUUAAGUGGAAAAAGAGAUAGCAGCAACUUGCAAACAUGCCCAGGCUCACUGUCCUAUUGGAAAUACUGUGUUCUACCGAACAUUAGCAUUAUCGAGGUCCUCGAAUAUAAAAACAAUGACUAAAAACUGUCACGGUAUGUGCUAUUUCACUCAGUUUAUACUUUCAUUUCAUCAAUCUUUUCCAUAAUAAUAGGCAUGCUUCUAAGAAAAGAUUCUGGAAAGAUGCUAAUUCCUUUUCAUCGUAAACUUUGUUCAUAGCUAGCCAUGUACGUAUAAAGAUUUAUUUUUAUUUUGAUUAUUUCGGAAUCUUUCCAAGAAGGUUAAAAGAGAAGAUAAAAAGGUAGAUAGCUAAUCAACCUAGCAGAAACCCUUUGGAGCUUGCAGGUUAUAAUUAGGUCGAUCUUCAUUAGGUUAAAACCCCCUGCUUUAAAACCGUUAAACAUUAUGGGAAUCUUUAACAUUUCAGACAGUUGCUUCUUGUGACAGUUUCCAUUUCUUCCCCCCUGCUGACAGUUUCUAUAAUGACUUUAAUCAUAGAGUCUGGAAACGGAACCGGCUAUUGAAUAGCAACAAACUCAGUGGUCAAUGUCUAUGUCAUUUUUCUGGGAGCAGGACUUUCUGAGCAUCAAGGAGCUAAUACUCAGAGCCUCCUGGAAGAGUGCUAAGUGCAUUAACUCUCUGUCAAUCACAUCCGUAACAUGUGGGCCAAAUUAUUGCUAUUUGGCUCAAGACAUUCCAUUGAAACUUAUUUGUGUGGUAUUCGUAUCUGUGUACCGUAUAUAACUAAUGAUGAUUGUUUAUGGAAAGGUGCCUGUCCAAUUAUUUUUGAAGAAACACAAGAAUGCAGAAUGACUGGAAGCAUCAGGUUUUUGCCAGAGAAUGCCUCAGAAACAUCAAGAAACAAGACAAAAGACACACCAUUUAUAAUCAGAAAGCUGCACGGUUUCCCAAAAAGGCAGAGGGAAGCUACUGUUCACAAAGCGGAUAGUAAAUUAGUUGAGCUUUUUAUUCACUAUUUUGUUAAAUGUAUGUUUAAAAAAAUUCAUUAA
rnacentral:lncRNA from 12 species